rnacentral:rRNA from 1 species
GACGAACGCUGGCGGCGUGCUUAACACAUGCAAGUCGAACGGAAAGGCCCUGCUUUUGUGGGGUGCUCGAGUGGCGAACGGGUGAGUAACACGGGAGUAACCGGCCCUUGACUUUGGGAUAACUUCAGGAAACUGGGGCUAAUACCGGAUAGGAGCUCCUGCUGCAUGGUGGGGGUUGGAAAGUUUCGGCGGUUGGGGAUGGACUCGCGGCUUAUCAGCUGGUUGGCGGGGUAGUGGCUUACCAAGGCUUUGACGGGUAGCCGGCCUGAGAGGGUGACCGGCCACAUUGGGACUGAGAUACGGCCCAGACUCCUACGGGAGGCAGCAGUGGGGAAUAUUGCACAAUGGGCGGAAGCCUGAUGCAGCAACGCCGCGUGCGGGAUGACGGCCUUCGGGUUGUAAACCGCUUUCGCCUGUGACGAAGCGUGAGUGACGGUAAUGGGUAAAGAAGCACCGGCUAACUACGUG